AUGGUGGCAACCGAGCAAAUGGCAGACGGCGUGCGGCGUCAGAUCCGGAACCAGAGGUGGAAGGCGAGGAGGAGCAGCGCCGAGGCGACGACGAAGACGAUUAGGAGCAGCGCCGAGGCGACGGUGGAGACGAUGAGGAGCAGUGCCGAGGCGACGGCGGAGACGAUGAGGAGCAGCGCCGAGGCGACGACGGAGAUGAUGAGAAGUCGCGGCCGCGUCGACCCCCCUAGGCCACGCCGCCCGCGCCGACCCCCCUGGGCCACGCCGCCCGCGCCGACCCCCUGGGCCACGCCGCCCGUGCCGCGUGCCAUAUGCCGCCGCCUUUGCCUCGCCUCGCCAUUCCUCCUUCCCUCUCGUGGGAACCGGGGCCGGGGCGGGGCGUUAAGGUUUUGGCGGCGCCAGAUCGGAGGGAUGGGAGGAGGAGGACGUGAGGAGAGGAGGAGGACGACGGCGGGGAAGGAGGCAGCAGUGGCGGUGCUAGGGGCGGGAGGAAGAGGAAGGGAGGCGGGUGCGUGGGAGGGAGGGAGGCGGCUGCGGGACGGAGGAGGAGCCGGCUAG
rnacentral:rRNA from 1 species